AGAAGCCACCGCCUCCUUCCCCAGUUGAUCAGCAAACACCUCAUGCCAUGUCUACCUCCUUCUUUACCAUCUCAUGCUCCGCUGAUUUGUUAGCAAAAGAAGGUCUUUCAAUCGCAGCUUAUUGCACUUCUUCACCACCUAACACCCACCCGCACCACCUCAGAUCCUGAUUGAUUAGCAAGGUGGAUGCUGUUGAAAGAAGAUUGAGAG
rnacentral:lncRNA from 1 species